UACAGAGGUCUCAAGCGUUGUUCGGAUUCAUUGGGCGUAAAGGGCGCGUAGGCGGCGGGGUAAGUCUGGUGUGAAAUCUAGGAGCUCAACUCCUAAACUGCACUGGAUACUGCUCUGCUAGAGGACUGGAGAGGAGACUGGAAUUCACGGUGUAGCAGUGAAAUGCGUAGAUAUCGUGAGGAAGACCAGUGGCGAAGGCGGGUCUCUGGACAGUUCCGUGACGCUGAGGCGCGAAAGGCCA
rnacentral:rRNA from 1 species